AUUGAACGCUGGCGGCAGGCCUAACACAUGCAAGUCGGGCGAGUGGCGGACGGGUGAGUAAUGUAUGGGGAUCUGCCUGAUGGCUGGGGAUAACGACUGGAAACGGUAGCUAAUACCGCAUACCAUCAGAUGAACCCAUAUGGGAUUAGCUAGUAGGUAGGUGAACGGCUUACCUAGGCGACGUUCCCUAGCUGGUCUGAGAGGAUGAUGAGCCACACUGGAACGGAGACACGGCCCAGACUCCUACGGGAGGCAGCAGUGGGGAAUAUUGCACAAUGGGCGAAAGCCUGAUGCAGCCAGGCCGCGUGUAUGAAGAAGGCCUUCGGGUUGUAAAGUACUUUCAGUCGGGAGGCGGUACCUACAGAAGAAGCACCGGCUAACUCCGUGCCAGCAGCCGCGGUAAUAC
rnacentral:rRNA from 1 species